rnacentral:rRNA from 1 species
UACGGGAGGCAGCAGUGGGGAAUAUUGCACAAUGGGCGCAAGCCUGAUGCAGCCAUGCCGCGUGUAUGAAAAAAGGCCUUCGGGUUGUAAAGUACUUUCAGUCGUGAGGAAGGUGUUAAGGUUAAUAACCUUAGCAAUUGACGUUAGCGACAGAAGAAGCACCGGCUAACUCCGUGCCAGCAGCCGCGGUAAUACGGAGGGUGCGAGCGUUAAUCGGAAUUACUGGGCUAAAGGGCACGCAGGCGGUUAAUUAAGUUGGAUGUGAAUCCCCGGGCUUAACCUGGGAAUGGCAUUCAAGCUGGUUAGCUAGAGUCUUGUAGAGGGGGUAGAAUUCCAUGUGUAGCGGUGAAAUGCGUAGAGAUGUGGAGGAAUACCGGUGGCGAAGGCGGCCCCUGGACAAGACUGACGCUCAUGUGCGAAAGCGUGGGGAGCAAACAGGG